AAAGGGUGCGUAGGCGGUUUAUUAAGUCAGUGGUGAAAGACGGUCGCUCAACGAUUGCAGUGCCAUUGAUACUGGUAGACUUGAGUGGGAUUGAGGUAGCUGGAAUGGAUAGUGUAGCGGUGAAAUGCAUAGAUAUUAUCCAGAACACCAAUUGCGUAGGCAAGUUACUAAGUCUCAACUGACGCUGAGGCACGAAAGUGUGGGUAUCAAACAGGAUUAGAUACCCGUGU
rnacentral:rRNA from 1 species